UGCAUUAAUCUAUGGCAAUGGCAGCAAUGGUUUCCAAUCCCCUUUGAGACGCGGUCUUAAAGUUCAAGAUCGAAAUUAAUCCAAAAACGUGCAAAAAGAAUGUAAAUUUUUAAGAUGGUGUUUAGUUCAGGAGCAAAAAAAGAAGUAGAACUGUUACCUGAAGCUGUUCAAGCACGGAUUAAAAGUACUGUGAGAUAUGCAAAGAUCUGGUAAGCAUAGUUU